rnacentral:rRNA from 1 species
CGCGUAUCAGAAUGACGCGGUGAAUACGUUCCCGGGCCUUGUACACACCGCCCGUCACACCAUGGGAGUGGGUUGCUCCAGAAGUAGAUAGUCUAACCCUCGGGAGGACGUUUACCACGGAGUGAUUCAUGACUGGGGUGAAGUCGUAACAAGGUAGCCCUAGGGGAACCUGGGGCUGGAUCACCUCCUUAUACGA